rnacentral:rRNA from 1 species
GACGAACGCUGGCGGCGUGCUUAAUACAUGCAAGUCGAACGGAAAGGCCCUGCUUUUGUGGGGUGCUCGAGUGGCGAACGGGUGAGUAACACGUGAGUAACCUGCCCUUGACUUUGGGAUAACUUCAGGAAACUGGGGCUAAUACCGGAUAGGAGCUCCUGCUGCAUGGUGGGGGUUGGAAAGUUUCGGCGGUUGGGGAUGGACUCGCGGCUUAUCAGCUUGUUGGUGGGGUAGUGGCUUACCAAGGCUUUGACGGGUAGCCGGCCUGAGAGGGUGACCGGCCACAUUGGGACUGAGAUACGGCCCAGACUCCUACGGGAGGCAGCAGUGGGGAAUAUUGCACAAUGGGCGGAAGCCUGAUGCAGCAACGCCGCGUGCGGGAUGACGGCCUUCGGGUUGUAAACCGCUUUCGCCUGUGACGAAGCGUGAGUGACGGUAAUGGGUAAAGAAGCGCCGGCUAACUACGUG